rnacentral:rRNA from 1 species
AUGCCAAAGAGGAAAGGAGGAUUGGGGUUUAGAGACCUUCAUAGUUUUAAUGUUGCUUUACUAGCAAAACAGUGUUGGCGACUACUCCAGAAUCCAGAAUCGUUGUGUGCUCAAGUUCUUAGUGCUAAGUACUAUCCAGAUGGGAAUAUACUGAAUGCAGGGCCGAAGAAGGGUUCCUCCUUCACUUGGCAGAGUAUUGUUGCUGGAAUCCAAACAUUUAAAAGAGGAUGCAUUUAGAGAGUUGGUACGGGAGCAUAGAUUAAUAUUUGGCAAGACCCGUGGAUACCAUCAAGUGAGUCCAGAAAAAUUAUAACACCACGGGGAGCCACUAUGUUGACAAAAGUGGAAGAGUUAAUUGACCCACAUACUGGACAGUGGGAUGAGGUGCUGAUCCGCGAUGUUUUUUGGCUGGUGGAUGUAUACAGAAUAUUACAAAUUCCACUCAGAGUGCAUGUUAUGGAGGACUUUGUAUCAUGGCAUUAUAACCAGACUGGAAGCUUUACUGUAAGGUUGGCCUAUCAUACUGAAUUUAAACAUCAAUUUGGGCGACAGGUGGAUCUAUCUUGUCCACAAGGGAGCCGAGAUCAGGACAUAUGGAAGCAUGUUUGGGCUCUUCGAGUGCCUGGGAAGGUGAAGCAUUUUGUCUGGAAAGUUAUUAGAGGAGUUCUACCAUGCUUUGGUACAAUGGCAGGGCGCCACAUACCUGUUUCGGGCUAAUGCCCGGUUUGUAAGGUAGGCUUUGAAGAUACGCAACACUGUUUUUUCCAAUGUGAGCGUGCGCUGGAGAUUUGGGAUAACCUUGGGAUAAAAAAUGAGAUCCAAAAAUCAGCUCUACUAGAUAGGUCGGGUUCCUCCACGAUGAGCACUCUCAUGUACAAUCAUGAAAUCACAGAGGGUUUACCAAUGGCGGAGUUAAUGGCAGUGGCUAGCUGGUAUAUUUGGUGGCAAAGGAGACAAAUAGUGAAGGAGAAACAUAUUCCAGCACCAGAUCGAACAUCAGUUUCAAUCCGAGUCCUUGCUACAAAUUUCUUUCGCUCUCUUGCUGUGAAUCAACCUAUGAGAAAACGUGAUCACAUGUGGCAGCAACCGAGAAGGGGAGUGGUGAAGAUCAAUGUGGAUGCUUCCUUUUGCUGUGAAAAUAUGACUGGAGGUACGGGAGCUAUAGUGCGUGAUGAGCGUGGAGAGUUUAUUGCUGCUGCUGGCUAG